UGAGACGUGAUGCCGAGCCGUUUUUGGUGAAGUGAGUGAUCCCAUGCUGUCGAGAAAAGCCUCUAGCGAGUUCGUGUGUGGCCAGUACCCUAAACCGACGCAGGUGGUCAGGUAGAGAAUACCGAGGCGUUCGGGUGAACCAUGGUUAAGGAACUCGGCAAAUUGUCCCCGUAACUUUGGGAGAAGGGGAGCCCUGUCUGGUGACGGAUCUUGCAUCCUGAGCUGGGUGGGGUCGCAGAUAGCGGGGGGAAGCGACUGUUUAUUAAAAACACAGGUCCGUGCGAAGUCGUAAGACGCUGUAUACGGACUGACGCCUGCCCGGUGCUGGAACGUUAAGAGGACUGGUUAGUGGGGGUUCGCCCCUGCGAAGCUGGGAAUCUAAGCGCCAGUAAACGGCGGUGGUAACUAUAACCAUCCUAAGGUAGCGAAAUUCCUUGUCGGGUAAGUUCCGACCUGCACGAAUGGCGUAACGACUUCCCCACUGUCUCAACCAUGGGCCCGGUGAAAUUGCACUACGAGUAAAGAUGCUCGUUUCGCGCAGCAGGACGGAAAGACCCCGGGACCUUCACUAUAGCUUGACAUUGGUGUUUGGGAUGGUUUGUGUAGGAUAGGUGGGAGCCGGUGAAGCUGUCACGCUAGUGGCGGUGGAGGCGUUGGUGAAAUACCACUCUGACUGUUUCGGGCAUCUAACUUUGGACCGUGAUCCGGUUCGGGGACAGUGUCUGGUGGGUAGUUUAACUGGGGCGGUUGCCUCCCAAAGAGUAACGGAGGCGCCCAAAGGUUCCCUCAGCCUGGUUGGUAAUCAGGUGUUGAGUGUAAGUGCACAAGGGAGCUUGACUGUGAGACGGACGUGUCGAGCAGGAGCGAAAGCUGGGACUAGUGAUCCGGCACCGGCGUGUGGAAGCGGUGUCGCUCAACGGCUAAAAGGUACCCCGGGGAUAACAGGCUGAUCUUCCCCAAGAGUCCAUAUCGACGGGAUGGUUUGGCACCUCGAUGUCGGCUCGUCGCAUCCUGGGGCUGGAGUUGGUCCCAAGGGUUGGGCUGUUCGCCCAUUAAAGCGGCACGCGAGCUGGGUUUAGAACGUCGUGAGACAGUUCGGUCCCUAUCCGCUGUGCGCGUUGGAGACUUGAGAAGGGCUGUCCCUAGUACGAGAGGACCGGGACGGACGAACCUCUGGUGUGCCAGUUGUCCUGCCAAGGGCAUGGCUGGUUGGCUACGUUCGGGAGGGAUAACCGCUGAAAGCAUCUAAGCGGGAAGCUUGCUUCGAGAUGAGGUCUCCUGCCUCCUUGAGGGGGUAAGGCUCCCUAUAGACGAUGGGGUUGAUAGGCCGGGUGUGGAAGCCUUGUGAGGGGUGGAGCUGACCGGUACUAAUAGGCCGAGGGCUUGUCCG
rnacentral:rRNA from 1 species